rnacentral:lncRNA from 1 species
CUGGCAGUUUAGAACUACUAGAAGUUCAGAACUUUGCAGCCUCCAGCAGGCAACUGUUGCUCCUGAAGUUUUAUCACCAAAUUCACUGUUGAGAUCUGAAGAAACUUCCACAAUCUGGAGCAAGAGUCUUCACUACUUCAGAGAAGUUUAACCACUCUUAGCUUGUGUACAUUUGAAUUCUUAACCUGUCUUCAGUGCUUUCAAGUUGCAUGGCUGUGUGAAAAAAGUUUAAGAUGAAUGAGAAUUACAUCUAAUGGAGUGCCACUGAAAUUGGAACUACAACUGAAUAUGAGAAAAGAAUGCAAGUCCUAUGUCACACAAAUCAAUUACUUUAUAUCACAUUACUUUUCUAAGUUAUUUGCUUUAAGAAAGAAUUAUUCCAGUGAAUAAUAAGGGUAAUAAG